rnacentral:rRNA from 1 species
GACAGCAGCAGCCGCGGUAAUACGUAGGUGACGAGCGUUGUCCGGAAUUAUUGGGCGUAAAGGGAGCGCAGGCGGUUGGAAUAGUCUGAUGUGAAAGCCCACGGCUUAACCGUGGAAGGUCAUUGGAAACUGUCCAACUUGAAUGCAGAAGAGGAAAGUGGAAUUCCAUGUGUAGCGGUGAAAUGCGUAGAUAUAUGGAGGAACACCAGUGGCGAAGGCGACUUUCUGGUCUGUAAUUGACGUUGAGGCUCGAAAGCGUGGGUAGCGAACAGGAUUAGAUACCCGAGUAGUCCCUGUCUCUUAUAC